rnacentral:rRNA from 1 species
GAUGAACGCUGGCGGCGUGCCUAAUACAUGCAAGUCGAGCGAAUGGAUUAAGAGCUUGCUCUUAUGAAGUUAGCGGCGGACGGGUGAGUAACACGUGGGUAACCUGCCCAUAAGACUGGGAUAACUCCGGGAAACCGGGGCUCAUACCGGAUAACAUUUUGAACCGCAUGGUUCGAAAUUGAAGGGCGGCUUCGGCUGUCACUUAUGGAUGGACCCGCGUCGCAUUAGCUAGGUGGUGAGGUAACGGCUCCCCAAGUCAACGAUGCGUAGCCCACCUGAGAGGGUGAUCGGCCACACUGGGACUGAGACACGGCCCAGACUCCUACGGGAGGCAGCAGUAGGGAAUCUUCCGCAAUGGACGAAAGUCUGACGGAGCAACGCCGCGUGAGUGAUGAAGGCUUUCGGGUCGUAAAACUCUGUUGUUAGGGAAGAACAAGUGCUAGUUGAAUAAGCUGGCACCUUGACGGUACCUAACCAGAAAGCCACGGCUAACUACGUGCCAGCCGCCGCAGUAA